rnacentral:rRNA from 1 species
AUUGAACGCUGGCGGCAGGCCUAACACAUGCAAGUCGAGCGAAUGAACGGAUCUUUCUCCUGGCUGCAGCUGCCGACGGGUGAGUAAUGCCUACGAAUCUGCCCGGUAGUGGGGGUUAGCGUCCGUAAGGGGGCGCUAAUACCGCACCCGAUCUGAGUGCGAAAGUCGUGGUUCUUCGGCCUUCUCCCUAUCGGAUGAGCCUUGGUUGUAUUCGCUAGUUGGUAGGGUAAAGGCCUACCAAGGCGACGAUCCAUACCUGGCCUGAGGGGGUGAUCAGUCACACUGGAACUGAGACACGGUACAGACUCCUACGGGAGGCAGCAGUGGGGCAUAUUGAACAAUGGGCGAAAGCCUGAUCCAGCCAUGCAGCGUGUGUGAAGAAGGUCUUCGGAUUGUAAAGCCCUUUUAUUAGGGAGGAAGUGGUGUAAGUUUAUUGCUGCCAGUUUUGACGUUACCAAAACAAUAAGCAACGGCUAACUUCGUG